UCCCUCUUAGCUCAGUUGGUAGAGCGCGUCACUAGUAUGUGUUAAGCUGUGAGUACAAUGACGAGGUCAGUCGUUCGAGUCGGCUAGAGGGAA